rnacentral:rRNA from 1 species
UGGCGAACGAGGCAGUAACACGUAGGAACCUGCCUCCGAGACGGGGAUAAUCCGGAGAAAUCCGGGAUAAUACCCGAUAUCCCUUAGGGGGAAAGAUUUAUCGCUCGGAGAUGGGCCUGCGGCAUAUCAGCUUGUUGGUGGGGUAACGGCCUACCAAGGCGAUGACGUGUAGGGGAGGUGAGAGCCUGACCCCCGCCGAUGGCACUGCGAUACGGGCCAUACACCUACGGGUGGCAGCAGCCGAGAAUCUUCCGCAAUGGGCGAAAGCCUGACGGAGCGACGUCGCGUGACUGAUGAAGCACUUCGGUGUGUAAAGGUCUUUUAUGAGGGAGGAAGGCAACUGACGUUACCUCAUGAAUAAGGGGCUCCUAAACUCGUGCCAGCAGGAGCGGUAAUACGAGUGCCCCGAGUGUUGUCCGGAAUCACUGGGCGUAAAGCGUGUCUAGGCGGUUGUGUUAGUCUUCUGUUAAAUCUCCGCGCUCAACGCGGAAACCGCGGGAGAAACGGCACAACUUGAGGGAGCGAGAGGUGUACGGAACUCAUAGUGUAGGGGUGAAAUCCGUUGAUAUUAUGAGGAACACCAAAAGCGAAGGCAGUACACUGGUGCUCUCCUGACGCUCAAACACGAAAGCGUGGGUCGCGAAUGGGAUUAGAUACCCCAGUAGUCCACGCCCUCAACGAUGUCCGCUGGCUUUUCGGAGUAUCGACCCUCUGAGAGGCGAAGCUAACGCGUUAAGCGGACCGCCUGGGAAGUACGGCCGCAAGGCUAAAACUCAAAGGAAUAGACGGGGACUUGCACAAGCGGUGGAGCGUGUGGCUUAAUUCGUCGAUAAGCGAAGAACCUCACCAGGGCUUGAAACUCUGUCGACAGUUCUGUGAAAGCAGAACCUUCUCACAAGGACGACAGAGCAGGUGAUGCAUGGCCGUCGUCAGUUCGUGGCUUGAGCUGUUCCCUUAAGUGGGGAAACGAACGCAACCCCCGUCGUCUGUUAUACGUGUCAGACGAGACUGCCCAGCCCAAAGCGUGUUUACUUCGGUAAAUCCGUUUCGGGCUGGGAGGAAGGAGGGGAUGACGCCAGGUCAGCAUGUCCCUUUGACGCCCUGGGCGGCACACGCGCUACAAUGGUUGCGACAGCAGGUUGCGACGGGGUAACCCCGAGCUAACCCUCAAACGCAGCCCCAGUUCGGAUUGUGGUCUGCAACUCGACCACAUGAAGCCGGAAUCGCUAGUAAUCGCGGGUCAGCACACCGCGGUGAAUACGUUCUCAAGUCUUGUACUCACCGCCCGUCAAGCUAAGGGAGCCGGGAAUACCCGAAGUCCCUGCGUUCGCAGGGCCUAAGGUAAGCUCGGUGACAGGAGCUAAGUCGUAACAAGGCACGCGUAGCGGAAGCUGUGCGUGGA